GUAAACACUUCGCCCCUGCAGGGGUGGAGACUGGCUGUGUUCGGAUGCCGGGGGGGAGAGGUGCAAUCCUCUCCUCGAGGCUGGUGGUUGCGACCACCCCCACUCCCCAAAGGCAGGCUCCAGAGGCGGCGGGACAGAGCUCCUGCGACCCCAGUCGGUGCUCCGGGGAGCUCACCUGCCGAGGAGGACUGGGAGGUGCUGGUCCUAGGGAAGCUCAAGUGGGACCUGGCUGCUGUGAUUGCACAUGAUUUCCUGGCCCUCAUUCUGCACCGGCUCUCUCUGCCCCGUGACCGACAGGCCUUGGUCAAAAAGCACGCCCAGACCUUUUUGGCCCUCUGUGCUACAGGUAAGAGCCCUGUGCACAUUUUUGCCAAAUUGGAAAAAUCCGAAGACUUAUAAGGGUGAGAGGUAACUAGAAGAUUCUGGUUUAUACUGUCAAAAUUCCUUUGUGAAAAUUACACCCCCUCUGAGCCCCCAGUCUCAAUGCAGAAAAGCAGGUUAUAAUCAGCUCUAUGGGAUCUCAGACCCCUCCAGUUUGUAGCGGGGACACUAAGGGUAUAGAGAGAAGUGACUUGC
rnacentral:sRNA from 1 species